GAUGAACGCUGGCGGCGUGCCUAAUACAUGCAAGUCGAGCGGACCAAAGAGAGCUUGCUCUCUGAGGUUAGCGGCGGACGGGUGAGUAACACGUGGGUAACCUGCCUGUAAGACGGGGAUAACUUCGGGAAACCGAAGCUAAUACCGGAUGAUAAAGAGAAACGCCUGUUUCUUUUUUGAAAGUCGGCCUUGUGCUGACGCUUACAGAUGGGCCCGCGGCGCAUUAGCUAGUUGGUGAGGUAACGGCUCACCAAGGCGACGAUGCGUAGCCGACCUGAGAGGGUGAUCGGACAAACUGGGACUGAGACACGUCCCAGACUCCUACGGGAGGCAGCAGUAGUGAAUCUUCGGCAAUGGACGAAAGUCUGACCGAGCAACGCCGCGUGAGCGAUGAAGGCCUUCGGGUCGUAAAGCUCUGUUGUCAGAGAAGAACAAGUACCGGAGUAACUGCCGGUACCUUGACGGUACCUGACCAGAAAGCCACGGCUAACUACGUGCCAGCAGCCGCCGUAA
rnacentral:rRNA from 1 species